rnacentral:lncRNA from 1 species
GUUACACCAUAAUACAAGUUUUGUGAGAUAGAACACCUAACGGCUAACACCACCACCAUUCGAAUUCCAGUCGGCCACCACCUCGACGGGAUCAUCGCCACUGCCGGAAUAUCCACCGUCCACCGCUCCUCUACCGCCAGCAGUCAGCGCCGCCGCCCCAACGCUGAUCGGCCGUGCAUCACUAAAAGCGGGAACCGGGUUUUUGUUCUCGUUUUUUGCUGGGUUAAGCGUGAAGGAGUUCAUGGUUUUGAAAGAGAUCGGGUUUCUGAGCUAUGGGCCAAGAGGUUCGUUUCAAGGAGUUGAUUCGGGAUCUCGAAUUUUGUGAACCGUGACGUUUGUUGCUUCCAUCGUGUAGAUCUUAGGUUUUCAUCAAAAAGGUAUGUUUAAAAUAAUAUAAACGCUUCUGCCACUAUUUAAUACGAGAUAUUAAUAAAUAAAUAAAUA